rnacentral:rRNA from 1 species
CGGACGGGUGAGUAAUGUCUGGGAAACUGCCUGAUGGAGGGGGAUAACUACUGGAAACGGUAGCUAAUACCGCAUAACGUCGCAAGACCAAAGAGGGGGACCUUCGGGCCUCUUGCCACCGGAUGUGCCCAGAUGGGAUUAGCUAGUAGGUGGGGUAAUGGCUCACCUAGGCGACGAUCCCUAGCUGGUCUGAGAGGAUGACCAGCCACACUGGAACUGAGACACGGUCCAG